UGAUAAUAGAAUGGACGAGUUGACGAGAACUAGAUGGGCGGUGUAGUUGGGAAGUGAUCACAGACUGGAAUAUCUGAUCG
rnacentral:misc_RNA from 1 species